GAAUGCACAUCAUUUGCUGUUUGUUUUAUAUGUAGUAUUUAUCCAGUCAAUUAUAGCUGAAACGUUUAAAACCACUGCAAGUUUUAAAAAUGUAAUAGAAAACACGAACAAAUAUUCCACAGAAAAUGUUCUACAAGAAUUUCUAGGAACUGCGAGUGUUUCUAGGUGUUUGGCAUCAUGCCUCCAUUAUUCUGACACUCUCUCUGUGUUUUACAAUAACGACCUUCAGAGUGUGUUUGUGCUGGCCAGGUGGGGAACGGUGACCUAACGCCUUCACCUGGAUAUGUCCAGUUUUCCAAAAAUCAUUCAGACACACCUAAGUGGAUUCCUUUCAGGAAUUCCCAGUACCUUAUUCUGAAAAGAAGCGCAAACUGGAUUGAGGCCCAAAUCGAAUGUGCCGCAGUUGGUGCACGGUUGGUUGAGGUAGAGGAUACAGAAGAAAACAUGUUCUUAAAGAAUCUUGCUCGAACAUCUAGCCUGGGUCCACUUCUUUUCUUGGGAGGAACGGAGGUCUUCGAAGAGGGAAGCUGGAUAUGGUAUUCAACACUGAAGAACAUUAGUUUCACUGACUGGGGCCCUGACAAACCUGAUUACGGAGGAACGGAUUUCUGCUUAGUCCUUUAUUCACCAUUUGAUUACGCUUGGGAUGACUUUCCAUGUGGAUUUAAAGUGAACAACACUAUUUGCGAACGAGUUGUUGUUUAAAGAAGUUUCAUCUGAAAACAUCUUUGGGAUAUUAAAACGAGUUGGUCACGUGCUUACGUAAAACCCGUAUUAAUAUGCUGUAAGAUGUUUACAGAUGAUGCUUUGUUACUGAUAUA